GUAGGCGUUAGGGCGGGUGGCGGCCGUUGCCUCGGUGACGGUGGCCUUUCGGCCCGGGCUCGUCGCCCUCCGGCUGCGGCUCCUCCCGCAGAUGAUGGAGAAGUACCAGGUGCUGGGCCUCAUCGGGGAGGGCAGCUACGGGGUGGUGAGCAGGUGCAGGAAUAAGGAGAGCGGGCAGGUGGUGGCAGUGAAAAAGUUCCUGGAGAGCGAGGACAACGCGGCAGUGAGGAAGAUCGCCGUGAGGGAGAUCAAACUGCUGAAGCAACUCAGGCAUGAGAAUCUUGUGAGCCUGCUGGAAGUGUAUAAAAAGAAGAAACGGUGGUAUCUGGUGUUUGAAUUUGUGGAUCACACGGUGCUUGAUGAUCUUGAGGCAUUUCCAAACGGACUUGACUACAGCAGGGUUCGGAAAUACUUAUUUCAGAUUUUGAGAGGAAUAGCGUUUUGUCACAGCCAGAACAUAAUACAUCGGGAUAUUAAGCCGGAGAACAUACUGGUCUCCCAGUCAGGAGUGGUAAAACUCUGUGACUUCGGUUUUGCUCGCACGUUGGCAGCUUCUGGGGAAGCUUACACAGACUAUGUGGCAACUCGAUGGUACAGAGCUCCAGAGCUGCUGGUGGGAGACACGAAAUAUGGCAGGGCUGUGGAUGUGUGGGCUAUUGGCUGUCUGGUAACAGAAAUGCUCACAGGAGAGCCUCUGUUCCCUGGAGAUUCAGACAUCGAUCAGCUCUACCACAUCACCAAGUGCCUGGGUAAUUUAAUUCCAAGACACCAAGAGUUAUUCUGUAAAAAUCCCCUCUUUGCUGGCAUGAGGUUGCCUGAAGUGAAAGAGGCUGAAUCUCUGGACAGACGAUAUCCUAAGCUCUCUGCUUCAGUGCUAGAUUUAGCCAAGAAGUGUUUGCAGAUUGACCCAGACAAAAGACCAUCCUGUGCUGAACUCUUGCAGAGCGAUUUCUUUAACAAGGAUGGAUUUGCUGAAAGUAGAUUUGCUCAGGAGCUUAAAUUAAGGAUUCACAAAGAAGCCAGAGACCAUCAAUCACAAAAAAAAUCAAAAAUCAACAGAAAGGAUAAAGAUGAUGCUGUAGAAGAAAGAAAGAUGCUUGGUGUACAGGAUUUCAACACUGACCCUAAGAGCAGAGAUGCAAAGGUGUUCAAAGUGAAGUGUUCUAAAGCUGAUGGAGAGAAAGCAGAGCGAUCUUCCGACCUGAGCUCCCUCUAUGACAGUGCAAUCAACCCAUUCAAAAUAUGCUCUCAGACCAACCUGAAAGAUUCCAGUAGCAACCUGCACUACAUCAAGAAUGCAGACAUCGUUAUUCCUCCCAUUAACCAGAAUGUUUCUCCCACUAUGUCUUCAAUGGUGCCUGUGCCUGGGAACUGCAACUACAGAGUUGAUGAAAGGAGUAAGAAUUACUUGAAACCAUUUUUAAAGCAAAUGAAGCAUUCUCCAGCAGGCCAUUACAGUGUAAGCUUGACUUCGGUCUCUAAUGAAAAGAACAUCCUUCAGGCAAAUAAGAAAAAACGGGAGUUCUCUAAGACGGAUGUGCAUUUACCAGAACUAAAUCAUCUCCCUGAACUGAAAGGAGUGGAAGGAUGGCAUCCCAGGUAUCUCAAAAAGGAAAAUAAAACAGUUUCAGAGUCCCGGGUCCCCUCCCUUGCUGCUAUUGACCUUCAUAACACGAGUCUGGCCUCACAGCAGAAGCAAAACUUGCCUUGGUUUCUCAGCUGUCUGACAAAAAUUGGAAGAAAGGGUUGAGAUGAUUCUUGUGAAGCCCCCCCCUACCCCCCUGACAUCUUACAGAUUAGGAAACUAAUGGUAUCCCCUGAUGUUUGGAAUGGAGACCUCUGGGUGAUCUCGAUGACAGUGGGCAAGAAGAUGAUCCUUUGUUACUCACUUGGGUAAAGAACUUACCCGAUAUCCAACCUAAAUCUUCCCUCCCUCAACUUAAAACCAUUUCCCCUUGUCCUGCCAUUAUCUACCCUUAUAAAGAGUUGACUCCCCUCCUAUUUGUAGGCUCCCUUUAGAUACUGGAAGGCUGUAGUAAGGUCACCCUGCAGCCUUCUCCAGGCUCAACAAGCCCAGCUCCCUCAGCCUGUCUUUGUAGGGGAGGUGCUGUAGACCUCUGAUCAUUUUUGUGGCCCUCCUCUGGACCCUCUCCAACAGCUCCCUGUCUUUCUUGUACUGGGGGCUCCAGACCUGGACACAGUACUCCAGAUGGGGCCUCACAAGAGCAGAGUAGAGAGGGACAAUCACCUCCCUGUCCCUGCUGGCCACCCCUCUUCUGAUGGAGCCCAGGAUACCAUUUGCUUUCCGAGCUGCAAAAGCACACUGCUGGCUCAUGUUAAGUAAGUUUUUCAUCUACCAGGACCCCCAGGUCCUUCUCUGCAGGGCUCUUCUCAAGGACUGCUCCUUCCAGUCUGUAUAUAUGCCUAGGAUUCCUCCAGCCCAAGUGCAAAACCUUGCACUUAGCUGUGUUGAACCUCAUUAGAUUUACCCAGGCCCAUCUUUUGAGUCUGUUGAGGUCCCUCUGAAUGGCAUCCCUUCCUUCCAUUGUGUCAACCGCACUACUCAGCUUGGUGUCAUCAGCAAACUUGCUGAGGGUGCACUUAAUUAAUUCCAUCAUUCCUCUCUUUUGAUUGUUUCUUUUUAAAUUUUUCUUCUUUCUCUGAAAGUUGUCAAGUAACACAAGGCUUGCCUGAAUUUCCUAUAAAACAGCACAGCUUAGGUAUAUAUUAUUAUGAGAGGGCUGACAUAUAGGAUAACUGUUAUAUAGAAAUCUCCUACUGAGGUUGAUAGAUUUACCUUGCACGUAUGGAUCUUGAAUGUCAUUUCACCUUUAUCUAAUGAGGGAUUUGCAAAUUUGGUCACUCCUUCCCUCAUAGGGUAGAAUGUGCUGGUUACUUAUGUCCAGAAUUUUCAAUUCUUUAAUAUACAACAUCCUUGCAAAGUCUAAAAUCUUCACUGAUCUUCCAAUGAAGAGCAAUUGAGUUAAGAUUAGCAGACAGCAUGUACAUUCACACUUGUGAAUGUACUGUCCUGUAUUCAAGCAAUGCUUCUGGACAGUGUUAGUUGCUUUAGCACUUUUUGCUUAGUGAGAAGCAUGUUGUCAUCACAUGGAUGACAUGCUUCUCACAGGACAGUUUUUGAAAUACUCAAAGACUAGUGGUAGGGAGGGAAAGGAAGACAAUAGAAAAGGCUUUUUCAAAGGCAGUGUGGCAAGGAAUACAUAAACAAAUGUAAACCAAGCAAGACGUAUUCAAAAAGGCCAUUGUUCAAUUCUGCUAAAUAAUCUAGUUUCACAAGGGAAAGAGCAAAAUUCAUCUAACCAGCAAAUCUCAAGUCUUGAUUGUUUCAGCAAGCACCUCUUCUCCCACCAGCCAGUUUGUGAGCAAUGUGCCACUGCAUGUGCAAUUAUAGGAACAGUGAAUUCCUCUCAGGUAAGGAGAACUUUUCCUUCAGGUUGCCUGCAUUGCGCAGGCUCUUCUUUAGCAGACAGACAAGGUUUUCAGGAGGUGCCACAAACCUACUUCCAUCUUGUGACCAACUUGUGUUUGUCCUCUAAAAACCAAAUGCAAUGAAGACAGUCUGACAGACUCCUGAACGUUGUUUGCCCAUAACAACACUUUUCAACAAGCACUGGGUAAGCAGGGUAAGCAUUAUCUAUCAACUGAAUUAGAAGUUGUAAAACAAAACGAUGUUCUGCAUAUAUAAGAGAAUUAACUCUUAUUAAGUUAACUUUAGUCAAAAAUGGGUCAAAAUUAGUUACACAUAUGAAAUGUUUAUUGUAUGUGGUGAAAUAGAAAACAGAAUUCAGCUAUAAUUUUAGAGUAAUAUAUAUUAAGUUUCUCAUCUAUCAAGGAUUCCCACAUACUGGCAUUUGUAGAAUUCCAACAUGCUCAUAAAAGCUGGAUGACCAGCUUUGUGCAAAUUGAAGUAACUGAGAACUGAAGUUCCAAGUGGAAAAUGAGCAAUUGUAAAACAGUAAUGGGGGGAGGGAAGGAGGAAGCAGAACUGAAGAAGGUUAGGGUCCUUAAAAACUAGCUGUAAGAAUGGCUUAGCAACACUUUAACUGUUUCCUGGAGACAUAGCAAACUGAACUGAAUUCUUAAAAACGAAAGGCAUUAGAGGCAUUUCCCAGUUGUAGCAUCUACGAUAAGAACUAUUUGACAUUCAUGAUGUUAUUUAUUACUGUCUUACUACAAUUCAUGUAAGAUCUUGAAAAUGUUCCCAAGUUACUGCACUACAAAAUGAAAAGAAAUAUCAACUGUAUGUGAACAAAGCUGUUUCAGAACUUCAGUAGAAUGGACUCUAUUCCCUGCAAACAAUUUGGAUGUAACAAGUAUUUUUUUUAAAGAUUAAAACUGAUAACACACCAGAUUGUUUUCAUCUGCUACAGUAAAGGACUUGAAUUACAUCAGUUUGCAUUCUUCUUCUCUCCUCCAUGCAGAGACAGUAUCUUCAGCCAGCUGCCUUUGUUACCUGACUGAGACAUAAAAUAUAUAUAUAUGAAGUUUUACAAACCUUGCUAUGCAUUUGGUUUUAAUACUCCAAUCCAAAAUUUCUCCAGCUAUCUUCUUACCUCCAACGUGAUGUGAAUAUUGUUAAUAUAUCAACUUAAAUAUUUUCUAGUUCCUUCAGAGAAGAAGCCUUUUUCUUCCAUGUAGUUAAUGUGCUGAGCUGUAAUUUAAAACAAGCAGAUCCUUUCUUACAUUUUUUUUCUAAGAUCUAAAUAACAGUACAGCUUCAAUACAGAGAAUGUCAUGAAAGAGAGGAAAAAGCUGAGAUGAGAGGGAAUUUGGGGUAAAUAGCAGAAUUUACAAUGCAUUCUGUAGGUAAUUCUCUUGCAUCUUAUUUCAGAUCCCAAAGAUUUUCAGAUGAUAGAAAAGUAGGUAGCAGGAGUACUUUCAAGACAUUUACAGAGAAUACAUGCAUUUUAAAACUGCAAAAAUGAUUCUGUAUUUGUAAUUUUUUUUUCUCCAUUGAAUUACUAUUAUUAAUAAGCUAAGAUCUAUAGUCUUUGAGCUAAGGCCUGGUAAUUUUACUAGUUUACUUCUUCAUAAUUGUCUUUCAUAUCAAUGUACUGCCCAAGCUAUGGUGUGUACUAAUGCAACAGAGAUAUGUCAUCUUCGUGCAUCUGAGAACGCUACUUUAGCCUCAGCUUUGUUCUCCCUGACACCUUCAAGGAGUCCUCCCCUGCCUUGCCUCUGGCUGUUUGUUCUUCAGAAACGCUGGGUCAGCAUUCUAUGGGACCUCACCCUGAUGUACAUCAAGCUAGUGCACUGAAAUAGCACUGACUGGAAUCAGACACGCUUUGUUUCAAACCAGAUGGCCACUCUCCAGGAGACAGGUGUAGGAAUCAGCACAUUUGCUCUUUGUCAUCGCUGCAGUAGGUCACACCAAGCUAAUAAAGCUUGUUAACAAGAGCUGCAAUUACUUAAGGAGAUAGUUUCUUUUCUUUUCUUUUUUAACUCAGAAUACAGAAAUUGUGACCCACCUUCACUCAUUCACACAUUUUGAACCAUGAGUGUAAUUCGCAUCAAAUUGGUUUUCAUAAACAAAUCUAUGCUGUCAGGUCCUCGUGCUUUCAGAAAGUGGCAUUUAAUUCAGAACACAAGACUGCUGUCCAAAUUACAUUAGUAAUGCUGCAUGCAUAUGCGAUCACCUCUGCCUCAGGAAUAAAACAAAUGUAGUGAAAAGCUUCAAGCAAGAGGACCUUUAAAAGCAGAGCUGUUUACCACCUACAGUAAGACUGAAAGCACAGUGCUGACACAUUAUAAAGAAUUUCCAGCUCAAAUAUGAACUAUGUGACUUUCCCAAUCGCAGUCACCUUCAGUGGAAGUUUCACCUUCCUGAAGUAAGAUGCAUAAAGACGACAUUUUAACGCAG